rnacentral:rRNA from 1 species
AGUAACUACUGGAAACGGUAAGCUAAUACCGCAUAACGUCGCAAGACCAAAGAGGGGGACCGUUCGGGCCUCUUGCCAUCAGAUGUGCCCAGAUGGGAUUAGCUAGUAGGUGGGGUAACGGCUCACCUAGGUGACGAUCCCUAGCUGGUCUGAGAGGAUGACCAGCCACACUGGAACUGAGACACGGUCCAGACUCCUACGGGAGGCAGCAUG